UACGUAGGGAGCGAGCGUUGUCCGGAAUUACUGGGUGUAAAGGGCGUGUAGGCGGCAUGGCAAGUCAGAUGUGAAACCUCGGGGCUUAACUCCGAGCAUGCAUUUGAAACUGCUGUACUUGAGUGCAGGAGAGGUAAGCGGAAUUCCCGGUGUAGCGGUGAAAUGCGUAGAGAUCGGGAGGAACACCAGUGGCGAAGGCGGCUUACUGGACUGCAACUGACGCUGAGGCGCGAAAGCGUGGGGAGCAAACAGG
rnacentral:rRNA from 1 species